CUACUGCCUGUUAAGUGUUCAAUAAAUAUUUGCACACUUAUGGGUCAGGCACACUGUUGCAAUGAGUCAAACUUAUCCAGUGGAAAGCAUUAUGGAUUUAGUGAUUAGCGGAUAAAUUCUAGGACCACUACUAAUUUUCCUUGGAUUACCUGAAACGAGAGGAUUUCCUCGUCUGUAAAAACCGGCAUAUUUCUACCUGUCGCCACCUCACCGAGAUGUUGCUAGGAUCACGUGGCAGAGAGCAUUUAUUUGCUCUGCGUAAGGAGGAUGUGUUACAGACAUCAGUCUGACCCAGGACUCUCCGGGCAGCUACUGGGGCACGUCCACGUCAUCCCGUUACAUAAGGGGCCCGCCCGUCCGGAGUCCUCUGAAAUCCCUGACCCCGAGUCACCGGCCACCGCCCCGAGGACGCCAUAGGAUGCCUUGAGGCUAGGCGGUGUAGGGUGGCGCCCACCCGAAGAUUGCGGCCGGCCGGCUGCAGUAAGCUUGUGAAACAGCUGUGGCUCUCGGCGCUGAGACCGGAAACCCCACCACACCCACCCGCCGCUAGCCAGCUCCUGGUCGGUUUGAACUUGACCCUGUUUUGCCGUUGCUAGGAGACCCGGCUCCGGCGCGCCCCCCACUGGCCCGCUCCCGGGCGCGCACGGGAAGGGGGCGGGGCCCCGGCAGGCGCCGGGGGCGGUCGGCAGAGCACCGUUAGGGCUGCCCGGCGCCGGGCCAGCGUCCCUGGAAGCGGCGUCUCGUCCCCUGCCACCGCCCAGGCCUCGCCGGCGCCCUCCCGCUGGUAUCAAAGCACUGCCGAGUGGCAGAGAGUCACGCUGGAUCCGGGCGCGGGAAGGACAUUCAGUCAGGUGAGCCGCAGCGGGACGGGCGACUGAUGUGGCCACGCCCUGCUGAGGGAGACCUGCCGGCCGGGUGCGGAGGGAACAGACGAGGGGAUCGUGCUGCGAGGGUAGCGGGCAUUCCCCGGCGGGUGCACCAGCUCGGAUCAGUCACGCCUGGGGACCUGCGCGGCCGUAGGGAGGACCCUCCGGCCAGAGGAGAAGGAGUUAACAUGCCGGCGGUGACCGCGGCCUCGGAUGUGAGCACCUCGGCGCGGCGUCCUUGGGCUGCGCUGCAGGUGCCCCCGGGCGGGCGGAGCGAGCGGGGUGGAGGGGACCUGGCUGGCCGGCCGAAUCUCCCUUUCCCCUGCAGGGGUCGCUCUGCUCCCUCUGCAGGCGCCCUGUUUUCUAACUCGAGGGCAACAGGUGGUGCUUUUGGUCCGAGGGAGAGCCCCACUGCGCCGCGCGGGGAGCGGCAGUUACUCUCACCAAUUAGGGCGCGGGGGCGGGCGUGGCGUGGACGCGCUGACGCCGGGGACCAAUGGGAUUCGGGCUCGGGGGUGGGCCGUGAGGGGUGGGCGUGGUCCGAGUCUGGAACCAAGGUUUCUAGGGCUGCAACCGCCAGAGCUUCCUGGAGAGCUAAGCUGAGCGGGCGUGGGGUGCUUGUCCGCCCCAGUGUCGAGAAGCCUACCAAUGCUUUCUCAUUUGGACCCACGCUCCAAUUCAGGAGCAGUCUGGUAACUGGAUCUCCUAGGAAGAGAAGUUCUUAA
ensembl:lncRNA